rnacentral:rRNA from 1 species
GUAGUCAUAUGCUUGUCUCAAAGAUUAAGCCAUGCAUGUCUAAGUACAAACCAUCUUAAGGUGAAACCGCGAAUGGCUCAUUAAAUCAGUUAUAAUUUACUGGAUGUAAACUACUUACAUGGAUAACUGUGGUAAUUCUAGAGCUAAUACAUGCAAAAAAGUCUUGCCGCAAGGCGGACGCAUUUAUUAGACCAAGACCAAGGGUGCUCUCGGGUGCCUACUGGUUGUGACUCUGAAUAACUGUUAGCUGAUCGCAUAGCCUCGCGCUGGCGACAUAUCCUUCAAGUAACUGCCUUAUCAACUUUCGAUGGUAGGUUAUUCGCCUACCAUGGUUGCAACGGGUAACGGGGAAU